GGCUGGUCUGAUGAUAGUGGGUUAUCAGAAUUUAUUAACAUUAGUGUCACUAAAGUUGGCAUAAAACCCCCGAUUGCUAAAUUUGACUGGCUAGAA
ensembl:Y_RNA Y_RNA Y RNA